CUUAAGCUGGGUCAUGAUGAACAGUGGGAAAGCAACAGAGUGAGACCCAACGCAAGAGGACACCAUUCCCGCAAGCAAUAAUGUGGGUACACGAGAAAGGUGAAGCAGGGUAAAAGAACAGUCAAUCAUCCACUAUGGCCAAACUUGUGAUACACAUAAGGGAUAAAACUGUGAUAAUCUGUGGAAAGGCUAGAAUGCUAGGCUAAAGCAUUUAGGUUAAUUCACAGUAUCAGCACAGAAGAAAAUGGACCUCACAUUGAUAAAAACUUGUGGGGAAGACUGAAGGCAGUACAAUCAGUGAGACUGCAAAAUUCCAGGUUCAAGACAGAGGUGAGGUCACUAAGGUCACUCAGGAAGGCAACUCACCCAACUGAAAACAUUCAAUUUGCCACUUUUACUAAAAGUACAAAUGUCUUUUUUUUUAUUUUUGUAUUUUGUUCCUAAAAAAAUAACCAGGGAGGGAAGAAAAAAAGAUCAAGUAUGGAAUGAAAAUCUGAUAUUACAAG